rnacentral:lncRNA from 1 species
UUUACAUUACAGUAUGUCAAAUCGUUAAAAUAAGCAAGAAAUAAAUUCAAAAUAAUACGAAAAUAUCAUAUUGAUUUAAUUUAAUGAAUUUGUGAUUUAUGAUUUUGCGAUAACAUUAACAAUACUGAUAUUAAAUUAAUCUUUACAUUGUGUUAAUUAUAACUCCAAAGGUAACCAUAAAUCUAACAAUGCUCAAAGGAGUGGUAAGUUUGAAAUUAUAAUAUUUGGCUCUGGUGUAUACACUGGAGUAUAUAUAGCUCAAAAUUAUCAGUUUCCAGGACCUAGACGAAAACCCUAAGUCAUAAAAAUCUCACGGACAAUAAUCAUGAAGAGAAAAUUCUGUUUUAAAAGGACAUUACAGCAGGUCUGAUUCAAUAUGCAUGUAAGAAAAAAAUUGAACAAUGUGACAAGGCCAUAGAAAAAAAGAAAUG